GCAACGUUGAGCUACAGAACAAGUGAAUAAUUUCUAAAGAAAAAUGUAACACCUUGCCUUGAGGAAGCCUGAUGUUGUUGUCACAUCUUCCCCAUGCUUGCAGUGUUAUGCCAUUUCCAAGAAAAGGUGAAACGCAGUCACCCCUCCAGAUUCCUGCACGUUGCAAAUUGCGUCCAGAUGAAGCUGGCUCUCAUUUAGACACCCUUGCAGGAGGAACAUCAGGGAGCUGUGCUUCGGCUGAUUAAACUUGCAGCCGUUCACCUUUGCCGGAGCUUAAUUAGCUGAGAUACUGCCUUCUCUAUAUUUAUCUCAUGUGUCUUCCUGAGACGUGUGCAGAGAGGAAGUCUGGAUUGCAGGCUGUGCAUGCACAGGUGUGCAGGAGCUUUUCAGCUCAUCUCCAUGCAAGGACAGCUGCUGUGCAGGGGUCGGUGGGUGGGUUUCUCUGCUUGGAGUCUGGAUGUCCAAAAUACCUGCAUGGUUUUGGAGAGCAGGAAGAAGAUGUGGGUCUGAGGGAACUGGUAACGUGGGAGAUGGAUGCAAACGAACCAGGUGUCCUCCCUGGUUAUUGACAGACUUCCUUAUCUGUUGCUCGCACAGAUGUGCUGGGGUCUGUGAAGGGGAGAUUGGUCUGUGGAAGGAAGAUGCCCACUGUGGCCUCUUUUUCUGAGUGAUGAGCUCUUGGACUGCAGCUCCCAUACCCAGUGUCUGUACGAAGUGCAUGGCCACAGCUCAUCUGGCAGCUAUAAAAAGAUGCUGAAAUAUAUUCAUAUAAAUAUUUCAUCCUAUCCCUCCCAAGCACAAGAAGGACAAAACGUUGUUGAACUCCAGGAAUCACCAGAAAUCAGCAUUUCAGGGUUGCUUGUAAGAGGCAAAGAAGCUGCAGGAAAGCUGCCCUUAUUUCCCACACAAGCAAGGCAGGACCCCAGUGCCAAUGAGUGUGAGCCAGUUGCUACUCAACUAUAAUUGAGAUUUAAGAGCUGUCAUUUCCUAUUGGUUAACCAAGGAAAUAUUUAUGGCCAAAGCCUGGUGCCAAGCACAAUAUUUAUGACCAAGUUUUUAGCAUUUUUUAGUGCUGAUUUUUGCACAGAGGACACAGAUCACAUCCACACUGAUGUGGGCAUGAAACUGAUCUGUAUCUGGUGAUGAUUAUGGGGAGAAAAGGGAAAUAAUUUGUCAGCCAUUCAACUCCAGAUUUCUUUAGUGAAUAAGUUGGGUAGCUUUUGCCCUUUGGUGAGGAAGGACAAGAGCUUAAUUUAGAUCUACAAAGCUGAGCAGCGAAACCAAAGCUAUCCUUGGAUAACAAACUUGUCUGGAGAAACAUGCUUUUGUUCUCCAAUUUAAAAAUCCAUCUUCUUAGAUCUCAAGAGAAGCUAAAGAGCCCUCUUGCUCUGUGUAGGCUCUUUACAUUGAAAUGUUGCAUUUACAAAUAAGAUGUUGAGGUUCAUCUGGUUUGUAACAAGAGUUCUCUAAUAGCUGUAGCACUGCAAACUAGUAUGAGGCCAUGAUCUGAUGCUUUUCUGCCUUUCCUCUCUCAGUGGUUGGGCCACUUUACUUGUUGAUUUGUUUUAG
ensembl:lncRNA